CAACAGCUAGAGUUUGAUCCUGGCUCAGGAUAAACGCUGGCGGCGCACAUAAGACAUGCAAGUCGAACGAACUUAAUCCUUAGUUUACUAUGGAAGCGGUUAGUGGCGGACUGGUGAGUAACACGUAAGCAACCUGCCUAUUAGAGGGGAACAACAGUUAGAAAUGACUGCUAAUACCGCAUAUGCCAUAAGUAUCGCAUGAUACAAGUGGGAAAGGAGAAAUCCGCUAAUAGAUGGGCUUGCGUCUGAUUAGUUAGUUGGUGGGGUAACGGCCUACCAAGACGACGAUCAGUAGCCGAACUGAGAGGUUGAACGGCCACAUUGGGACUGAGAUACGGCCCAGACUCCUACGGGAGGCAGCAGUCGGGAAUAUUGCGCAAUGGAGGAAACUCUGACGCAGUGACGCCGCGUGCAGGAAGAAGGUUUUCGGAUUGUAAACUGCUUUAGACAGGGAAGAAAAAGGACAGUACCUGUAGAAUAAGCUCCGGCUAACUACGUGCC
rnacentral:rRNA from 1 species